UAACCCUCACCCUUGUGAUGUCAAAGUCGCGUGUGGUGGAUUUGGACCGUGCCGUAGCCGGCUCGUCCUCAAAUGCAUUAGCUUUGCGCCCUUUAGAGUGCUCGGCAUGGUGUGAUAAUUAUCUGCGCCGUCUGCCUUAUGCCUCUUCUGUCUGGAGCGCUGCUUCCAAUCGUCCCUCGAGGACACAUUGACAAUAAG
rnacentral:misc_RNA from 1 species